GCAGUUGUUGUUGCUGCUGUAGAUUGUAGCUUGUAAAUUAUAGCUAGUAGCUUGUAGAUUAUAGCUGGUAAUUUGUAGAUGGUAGCUGGUAGAUUGUAGCUGGUAGGUGAUAGCUGGUAGGUGAUAGCUUGAAGAUGCUUUGGUUGUCCAUGCUGGUUUAGAGUAGGUUCUUCAACGGAGC